rnacentral:pre_miRNA from 1 species
CACAUACUCCCUCCGUUCGGAAUUACUUGUCUCGAAAAUGGAUGUAUCUAGAACUAAAAUACGUCUAGAUACAUCCAUUUCCGUGACAAGUAAUUCCGAACGGAGGGAGUACUUC